ACCGUCGGCAAACCCUGCGAACGGGCGCACCGACGUCACUGCUCUCGGUUUAUCUGUCUUUGGCUUGGCAUGGACUCUUGGCUUGGCCGCUUGGCUUCUUUCGUUUCGUCCUCUGUGCAGCGUACAUAAGCGAACAGCUGUUAUGUUGUUGCUAAGCCGGAAACAAAGCAUGUGAAUAUUUUUUUUUGGCACGGCAUCGUUUGGAAAGUGCACUUCCUUGUUCUGACCUUGCCUUUUAUGGGCUGGAGCGAUAUGAUACGUAAUAUGCCACGGCGAAGUUGUCGAAGAUACGACGGUGCUACGCUGUUAGAACAAUUCAUCGGAGCAUUCAAGUGUUACCUAUUAUAAGCUGCCAAAAGUGCGAAGCUCUUGGCUGACAGUGGUGCCUGCUAAUUUCCACUGCAAGGAUUUCGUCCACGAAUGUUAUCAUAGGUUACGCGCGACUCCAGAGGCACUUUGGAAUCUCGGCACGAAAUCGUCUGAUGAAAAUCUCAGGUGCCCGACGCACAACGUUUUGAACGUGUCACGGAGGAUCAAGGCAAAAAACUAGAGCAAAAAAGGUGCACGCUGAAGGCGGAAAUGAAGCAUGAUCUGGCUUGUAUCUGGUGCAUGAAGAAAUGGCUGACACGUUAGUUGCAGUCUACCUCCACCAAUAGGUCGCCAUCCCGAUUAGCUGCUAUCUCCCAGUUCAAGCACUUUUGCUGUCUGGACACUGGUUCCUGUGGACGGGGUGUUACAAGCUUCACUGUCUGAUAUAGAAGUGAUGAGCAUCCAUAAGGACACAUGCCAGAAAGGGAGUCUCUUCGGGAUGACAAACCCUCAUCACUUCAUGAGGAUACAAUGGUUGACGAAUGGUUCUCAAGCACAUCGAAACUUCAACAAAUAAUUCAUGAAAAAGCCAGUCAGUGCUAGCACCAGGAAUUGAACAUGGACCGUCCUGCUACCAGUCAGAGAUGUUACAUUUCAGGCGCUCAUUGACUUUUGGUGAAUUACUUGUUGACUUUGUCCCAAGGUGGAGCUCGCCACAGCUCAUUUGCUUAUCUGUUAAUGUUGUGGCGUGUGUUGCGUUUUUCUCUUUGUGUGUUCCAGACUCAGAACGGUUAAUUUGGAUCAGGUCAGGUACGUUUCAUUUAGAUAUGAAAAAUAUAAAGUGGUGUCUCUUUUUGUGCCUGAUUUUUGACGUCAUCGUGGCAUGUCUGGACUUGUUCAGCAGUGUUGCAAUUUUACCCGCUGCUAGUAUGUUGUUGUUGGUGUCAUGUUGUGCUAGCCGCGUGGCGAUGUGUGGUGACCUGAGGUCUUAAGCCUUUUCCCUGC